UUGUGGAGAAGGACGCCGAAGGUGGGGCUGAUGACUGGGGUGAAGUCGUAACAAGGUAGCCGUACCGGAAGGUGCGGCUGGAUCACCUCCUAACAGGGAGACAAAUCAGAUUGUGAUGUCUAGAUGAUUUAUUUUUAGGCCAUAAUCCUGUCACCUUAGGUCGAUCGGUACCUCAGUUUAAUAUUCAUUUUAGCUAAGUAAGUUAGUUGAAUCAGGUUAUUAAAUUCAGUUCCUAAACUUUGUCUAGGUCACACCCAGCAAGGGUACUCCUGGGCCAUUAGCUCAGGUGGUUAGAGCGCACCCCUGAUAAGGGUGAGGUCCCUGGUUCAAGUCCAGGAUGGCCCAUUCGGUGUUGGGGGUAUAGCUCAGUUGGUAGAGCGCCUGCUUUGCAAGCAGGAUGUCAGCGGUUCGAGUCCGCUUACCUCCACUGAUCGAUCUCCUGAUAACUAGUAAAAGGAGAAAGUUGUUGAUUGUGAUUUAGGCUUAUGUUUAGCUGGCUGAACCUAGCUUCCUAUCACUCCUGAAUUAACUUUAGGCUGAUAAGACGCUGGGCUCACUGGAUGUUCUAAGGGAUAUUCAGUUUGUUUCAGCAGAACCUUGACAACUGCAUAGGAAAAUCUAGAAAAAUAAAGCAUCUCAUAGAUGCAUAGAAGUUUUUUCAUUUUUUAAUGAUUAGAUUUCUAUGUUCAAUUCUUGAGUUAGAGCAAAUUUUCUAUUACUUAAUUCACUUAAGGUUAAGUGAUGACUAAUUAAUUUUAGAUAAGUUUAUAGAUUAAUGGUCAAGCUACAA
rnacentral:misc_RNA from 1 species